rnacentral:rRNA from 1 species
UACGUAGGGGGCAAGCGUUGUCCGGAUUUAUUGGGCGUAAAGAGCUCGUAGGCGGUUUGGUAAGUCAGGUGUGAAAUCUCCACGCUCAACGUGGAGGGGCCACCUGAUACUGCCAUGACUGGAGUCCGGUAGAGGAGUGUGGAAUUCCCGGUGUAGCGGUGAAAUGCGUAGAUAUCGGAAGGAACACCAGUGGCGAAAGCGACUUCCUGGUCCAAUACUGACGUUCAUGUGCGAAAGCGUGGGGAGCAAACAGG